rnacentral:rRNA from 1 species
UACGUAGGGUGCGAGCGUUGUCCGGAAUUAUUGGGCGUAAAGAGCUUGUAGGCGGUUUGUCGCGUCUGCUGUGAAAAUCCGGGGCUCAACCCCGGACUUGCAGUGGGUACGGGCAGGCUAGAGUUCGGUAGGGGAGACUGGAAUUCCUGAUGUAGCGGUGAAAUGCGCAGAUAUCAGGAGGAACACCGGUGGCGAAGGCGGGUCUCUGGGCCGAUACUGACGCUGAGGAGCGAAAGCGUGGGGAGCGAACAGG